GCGGCGAAGGGAGAGUAACGCGUAGAUAUCUGCCUCGAGGCCCGGGAUAGCGGCGGGAAACUGCCGGUAAUACCGGAUAACAUCUCCGGAUCAAAGGUGUGAUUCCGCCUCGAGAUGAGUCUGCGUCCUAUUAAUGCUUGUUGGUGUGGUAACGGCGCACCAAGGCGUAGAUGGGUACCGGGUGUGAGAGCAUGGCCCGGCUCACUGGGACUGAGACACUGCCCAGACACCUACGGGUGGCUGCAGUCGAGAAUCUUCGGCAAUGGGCGAAAGCCUGACCGAGCGACGCCGCGUGCGGGAUGAAGGCCCUCGGGUUGUAAACCGCUGUCAGUAGGGAGCAAAUCUCUUGGGGUUAUCCCCUUGAGUUGAGCGAUCUUCAGAGGAAGUACGGGCUAAGUUCGUGCCAGCAGCCGCGGUAAGACGAACCGUCCAAACGUUAUUCGGAAUCACUGGGCUUAAAGGGUGCGUAGGCGGCUUGGCAAGUUGGGUGUGAAAUCCCUCGGCUCAACCGAGGAACUGCGCUCAAAACUGCCAAGCUAGGGGAAGAUAGAGGUGAGCGGAACUAAUGGUGGAGCGGUGAAAUGCGUUGAUAUCAUCAGGAACACCAGAGGCGAAGGCGGCUCACUGGGUCCUUUCUGACGCUGAGGGAGGAAAGCUAGGGGAGCAAACGGGAUGAGAUACCCCGGUAGUCCUAGCUGUAAACGAUGAGCACUAGAUCGAGGGGACUUCCACAUCUUCUCGGUCGUAGCGAAAGUGUUAGUGCUCCGCCUGGGGGAGUAUGGUCGCAAGGGCUGAAAC
rnacentral:rRNA from 1 species